rnacentral:rRNA from 1 species
UACGUAGGUGGCGAGCGUUGUCCGGAUUUAUUGGGCGUAAAGAGCGUGUAGGCGGCUUGGCAAGUCCGCUGUGAAAACUCGAGGCUUAACCUCGAGACGUCGGUGGAAACUGCCUCGCUAGAGUCCGGAAGAGGAGAGUGGAAUUCCUGGUGUAGCGGUGAAAUGCGCAGAUAUCAGGAAGAACACCCGUGGCUAAGGCGGCUCUCUAGUACGGUACUGACGCUGAGACGCGAAAGCGUGGGGAGCGAACAGG